GCAGCCUGUUCCAGUUCUCCAUCACCCUUAGUGUGAAGAAGUCCUUUGCAUAUUGGUGUAGAACUUCCUAUGCUCCAGUUUAUGGCCAUUUCUCCUCGUCACAGACCGCUGAAAACUGGUUUGUCAUGUUGCUUUGACUCCCACACUUAAGAUAUUUAUAAAUAUUAAUAAGAUCCCCUCUCAGUCUUUUUUCAGAGCUGAACAGACCCAGGUGAUUCAUCCUUUCCUCAUAAGAGAGGUGCUCUAUGGCCUUUAUCAUCUUUGUGGCCCUAUGCUGGACUCUUUCCAGGAGAUCCCUGUGGUUUUUUUUUUUUUUUUUUUUCUUUUUUCUUUUUUUUUCCCAAGGCUAUUAACAAGAGGGGAAAGCAAUGAAGAGGACAGGAGGAAGAAAACAGAAAUUAUUGCACUCAUAUGAAACACUAGACUAAGAAAAUCUCUCAGCUAAUUGUUUGUAAGAUGGACUAGCUACAGGGUUAUAAACUAAUUAGGAUAUAAAUCUCACUGUGUGAUAGGAUACUUACUAAAAAAAUAAAAUAAAAUCUAACCUUUAUUAUCAAGCACAUUCUGCUCUACAGAUCAAAAUUAACAUUUAAAUUCAGCCUACUGACUUCUCGCCAAAAACCUAAUUCUGUUACCAGGAUUAUGCACGUUCUUUUUUUAAACUGUGCUUUUUCUCCUUUUAUUUUGUUCACUCUCAUAAUUCUCAGAACUGUAUCUCUGUCAUUUAGAUGCCAGUUACAAUUCUCUUGCCAAUUUAGAUUGGAUGUAGAUAGAAUCCUAGUAUCAAGAAUCCACUGAUUCUUUAUGAGUGGCUGUUUAUUGCAUGUUAUCCAUUCUAUUAAAUUCUUUAAGUUGUGAAUUCCUUUUAUAGUUUAUAUAUAAGGUAACAAAUUACUGAAGUCCAAUCAUGCAUCUAGGCCCACGGUCUAGUUAAGUUUGUAUGCAAACAAGACACUGGGACCAUGAUACUGGAUUCAUUGUCUUGAGAAGCAUACCCUUCUCUACUGAAAGAGGCUACAUGAUGGUACCUGAAUCAAGCAAAUUCUAUGUGCUUGUAGACCAGUGCUGCUACAGCAAGUGACAUCCACAGAGCAGUUAAGACAUAGGAAGGUAAGUUGGGUAACCCAAGAGGUAUGAAUCAGUAAAUUAACAAAAUUGAAAACAAAACCAGUGAAGUGAUAAUGGUCAAAAUGGUGUUUGCCCAUUUCUGCAAAACAGGCAUGAGACUUCAUUGCUAAAACUUAGACAGUGAGUGCCAAUUGAGAUGCCCAGGUACACUAUCUAGCUCCAUCUAUCUGUAGUUUCUAGGGAGUCAGCUCAGAUGCAGUGAUGUAACUAGAAAUGUGAACCAGAAGAAUAACAGUCAGGCUGAGACACAGAGAAGACCAAGUCAAAGAUGUUACUCUGGCUAUAACUCUAGUGGCAAGGAUGGUGGUAGUGUUUUGAAACUACAGGACUGCUCUUACCAAGGGUGAUAGGUCAGAAUGGCCUUCAGUCUUCCUGUUGCUGUACAUUUCAGACCUCUUACAAGUUUGGAGUAUAUCAAGGACCAUCCUGAGCCAAUGUUUUGUGUCAGAUCAGGGUGGUUAAAUUCCACUACUUUGUGAGUACUGCUAGUUUUUAUAGCCAGUGGUCUGGAAAUAAAGUCCUCUGGGACUACUGCCACAUCCAGCUGAAUUCUGCCUCAUCAAUACAAAUAAUGAGGUGAGUGUUAGAAUUUGGAUUUAUAGGCAUAUACCUUAAGAUGCUUGUAGCCUUACCUGUAUAAAAAAGUAGCUGUAUUCACAUUUUCACUUGUUUUAAAGUUUUUUAGAGAAAAUUAAGUAAUGAGGAAACUUUCAAACCAAGUGAGUUUUACAAAAGUUCAUUUAACCCAACAAUUUCAUAAAGUACUGCAUCUCCAAUAUUAUUGUUGCCAUGGUAAUGUCUGGUUUGUUAUUUAUUACUGAAGUAAAUUGUUUUCAAAGUCUGCCACCAGUUUCACACUGCAAAAGGAUGAAUUUUAAUCUCUAGUUCUUUUUACAUGCAUUCACUUAUACUACACACUAAUUAACAAACUAUCACACUUUAUUUAUGAUAUUGUGAGUGACUUCUAUUUUUUAAUCUCCAUUCUUGUUCACGAUAUGGGGGAGAAUAACAUUCAGAAGUAAAAGUGUAACCCAUGUUGAAAUUACAUUCUUUUCCUAUUGGUAACAAAAAUGCAUACAGUGCUUUCAAUAUGUCUGUCUUUAUCUUGUACUUAUUCAAGAUUAUUCACCACACAUUACGACAUAUUUUGGGCUUGGAUUAGCUUGCUUAGACUUCUGAGCCUUGUUGUGAUGAUAAAGGCAUUUUCCUUGCGAUUCCUGUGACUUUAGGAAGUCUCUCUUCUCUUUUUUAGAUUGAAUCUGUUGUGGAAGUUGGAGUGUAACUAUUUGUGUUUCACAUCUGAUGGAUGCCUUCAGUUUAUCUGCUCUCCAGAAGACUUCCGGAAGACACAAGUUUUGUUCUUAACAUCAAUUUUGGUAGCCAGCAGAAGAAUGAAUAUGUUAAAAUCUUAAGCAAAUCAAAUCCAGUUACAAGAUGAGAACAAUGCUGCAAAGAACUUUUUACUUGGAGUUUUCAUUAGAAGGCUCCAGCUAACACCAUGAGGUGGUCUCUGGCCAAUCUGAGAGCCAGGAUGGUGGGAAGAAUUUGAACCAGUGCUUCAGAGAAAGAACCCUGUUCCUACAGUUUAGCAUCUCUGUCUACUUUUGCAAGUAAGAGCAAUAUAUGAGAAAAUGAAAAUUGCUGUAGUGCAUUACGUGAGUAGUCAGUUCUUGAAUGUUCUUCAAUACAAAACUUGGAUUUCUUUUUGAACUUCGUACAGAAACUAUUAUAAGAAUUGUAACUAGUUAUUGCAUAGCACUGCUAUGCAACAUUUUAAAGUAUACACAACUUAAUAAUAAACAUCCUUCGAAAGACUAAUUUAGAGUGGUUUGAUAUACUCUGUUCUUGGUGGUAGCUGGGUGCCAGACACAUGCCUCAGAUGCCAGUCCUUUAAGAUCCAUUACUGUCCCCCAAAAGAGCAGUUAUUACCAUCCACCCCUUCUUCCUAUCUCUACUGGCAGCUGCUAUCUUUGGGUGGAUGUCAGACAAAUACACAAAGAAGCAUUCAUCUACUGCAACAACAUUUAUUGUUUCGAGUGCCCUUUUUUUGCCUCUAGGUAGAAGACUAAAUGGCAAUGUCCUCAGAGCCAAAUUCAGCCUUAGAGUCUCAGCCAGAUCACACUGGAAUAGAUCACAGUAAUAUAUGCCUUUGUGUCUUUGAGCAGGCAGAUAAAAUCACACCUCAGUUGUAAACUUGAACAUGAAUGGAUACAAAUAGAAUGGUUAUCAAUUUCCCAAUUCACAAGGUAUUAAAUAUAGCACUUGGGGCUACUUGAAGAAUUUAACUUCCUGACAUUCAAGGAUGCUUGGAUGCGAGUCUGGGUACUGUGUUAUUUCUGCUUACAAUCUCACAAACAAAGGUUAAGAAAGGGUCUCUGUCUCCAGGGAGCUCGAAGUCACAGCAAUAUUCCUACUGUUUACAUGAAUUGCUAAUGCCAAUUUAUAAAUCUCUCUCUUGUGUCUAUGCCAAAUAGCUAAUAAUGGCACUCUGAACCUGUUGAGCUUUCUGAUAAUUAAGAAAACCAAACAGACUGUGCUUAAAAUGAAGCUCCUGUUUCCUAUGGUAGUAUAUUCAAAGACCGCAGGGAUUUCCCCCCUCCUUCCUCGUGAGCAGCAGGCAACCUCUCCAUUACAGCUGGAAGCCUCAAACAGCAGUACAGGUAAAACGCUAGCUAUUGUGAAAAACAAGUUCCUGGCUCUUGAUUAACAGCUGGAUUUGCUUCCCUCUUUGCUUGCCCAACCAGAUAACUAUGGGAAUGUCAGAGACAGUUUGCAAAAGAAAACAUAAUGUGCAUAGCAUGAUGUCAGAAAUAAGAUAGAGUUAUUAAACUUCAGUUUAACACAGACAAGGGAAUCACUGCUACACAGACAGUUCUGAGGCAUAUAACAGGUUUUCAGUCCUGACUGAGACUGAAGAAAUGGUAGACACCGAGGCAAGUUAUGUAACAAUUUCUCAGAAUCCUAAAAUCGUUUAAGGGGCCUUUAAA